rnacentral:rRNA from 1 species
AUUUGAGAGUUUGAUCCUGGCUCAGGAUGAACGCUGGCGGCGUGCUUAACACAUGCAAGUUGAACGAAGCUCUUUGGCCUGAUUCCUUCGGGAAGAUGAUCAUUGAGACUGAGUGGCGAACGGGUGAGUAACACGUGAGCAACCAACCCCUGACAGCGGAAUAACAACGGGAAACCGUUGCUAAUACCGCAUGAAAUCUCUGUAUGGCAUCAUACUAAGAUCAAAGAUUUAUCGGUCAGGGACGGGCUCGCGUCCGAUUAGGUAGUUGGUAAGGUAACGGCUUACCAAGCCUGCGAUCGGUAGCCGGACUGAGAGGUCGAACGGCCACAUUGGGACUGAGACACGGCCCAGACUCCUACGGGAGGCAGCAGUGGGGAAUAUUGGGCAAUGGACGCAAGUCUGACCCAGCGACGCCGCGUGAAGGACGAAGGCAUUCGUGUUGUAAACUUCUUUGGAGAGGGACGA